rnacentral:rRNA from 1 species
UUGAACGCUGGCGGCAGGCCUAACACAUGCAAGUCGAACGGUAACAGGAAACAGCUUGCUGUUUCGCUGACGAGUGGCGGACGGGUGAGUAAUGUCUGGGAAACUGCCUGAUGGAGGGGGAUAACUACUGGAAACGGUAGCUAAUACCGCAUAACGUCGCAAGACCAAAGAGGGGGACCUUCGGGCCUCUUGCCAUCGGAUGUGCCCAGAUAGGAUUAGCUUGUUGGUGGGGUAACGGCUCACCAAGGCGACGAUCCCUAGCUGGUCUGAGAGGAUGACCAGCCACACUGGAACUGAGACACGGUCCAGACUCCUACGGGAGGCAGCAGUGGGGAAUAUUGCACAAUGGGCGCAAGCCUGAUGCAGCCAUGCCGCGUGUAUGAAGAAGGCCUUCGGGUUGUAAAGUACUUUCAGCGGGGAGGAAGGGAGUAAAGUUAAUACCUUUGCUCAUUGACGUUACCCGCAGAAGAAGCACCGGCUAACUCCGUGCCAGCAGCCGCGGUAAUACGGAGGGUGCAAGCGUUAAUCGGAAUUACUGGGCGUAAAGCGCACGCAGGCGGUUUGUUAAGUCAGAUGUGAAAUCCCCGGGCUCAACCUGGGAACUGCAUCUGAUACUGGCAAGCUUGAGUCUCGUAGAGGGGGGUAGAAUUCCAGGUGUAGCGGUGAAAUGCGUAGAGAUCUGGAGGAAUACCGGUGGCGAAGGCGGCCCCCUGGACGAAGACUGACGCUCAGGUGCGAAAGCGUGGGGAGCAAACAGGAUUAGAUACCCUGGUAGUCCACGCCGUAAACGAUGUCGACUUGGAGGUUGUGCCCUUGAGGCGUGGCUUCCGGAGCUAACGCGUUAAGUCGACCGCCUGGGGAGUACGGCCGCAAGGUUAAAACUCAAAUGAAUUGACGGGGGCCCGCACAAGCGGUGGAGCAUGUGGUUUAAUUCGAUGCAACGCGAAGAACCUUACCUGGUCUUGACAUCCACGGAAGUUUUCAGAGAUGAGAAUGUGCCUUCGGGAACCGUGAGACAGGUGCUGCAUGGCUGUCGUCAGCUCGUGUUGUGAAAUGUUGGGUUAAGUCCCGCAACGAGCGCAACCCUUAUCCUUUGUUGCCAGCGGUCCGGCCGGGAACUCAAAGGAGACUGCCAGUGAUAAACUGGAGGAAGGUGGGGAUGACGUCAAGUCAUCAUGGCCCUUACGACCAGGGCUACACACGUGCUACAAUGGCGCAUACAAAGAGAAGCGACCUCGCGAGAGCAAGCGGACCUCAUAAAGUGCGUCGUAGUCCGGAUUGGAGUCUGCAACUCGACUCCAUGAAGUCGGAAUCGCUAGUAAUCGUGGAUCAGAAUGCCACGGUGAAUACGUUCCCGGGCCUUGUACACACCGCCCGUCACACCAUGGGAGUGGGUUGCAAAAGAAGUAGGUAGCUUAACCUUCGGGAGGGCGCUUACCACUUUGUGAUUCAUGACUGGGGUG